rnacentral:lncRNA from 1 species
CCCUGAGUUUGCAAAACAGAGAAGUACCAUAAAAACUCAUUAAAACACAUAGAUGUUGAUGAUGCCAUGAAAUAGAGAGACAGUGGGGAAAUGCUAAACCUCUCUGGUGUAGAACUUGACAGCGAAACCACGAGGAUCUCUGAGAGUCUCGGGGCUGCCGCGCUCGUGGAUCACAGUAGAGAAACGAACAAUGACAGGAGUCUGGACACCAGGUCCUCGGAGAAAAUCAGCACAAGUAAGGUGGGUAAUGUCAUGAGUGACUUCAAAGAAACCUUUGGCACUGGCACCUCUGGCAUGAACCACCCUCUCAGGAAUCCGCUCCCUGUCAAAGUUGGCGAGUUUCUCAAGCAGAUGGUAGUCCUCCAGAAGAAUCGGACCUAACAAGUUACAAAAACCAUAGCUUUCACCUAUCAAACUUUCCAAAUUAUAUAUUAAGCUUUAGUAAUAUAAACUGAAGGAAGAAAGCUGAUUCAUAAAACAGAACGUUUAAUGCAAUUUCAAGGACAUUUAUUCAGAACGACCAAUGAUUAACCUGCUAGCUAUAUACAAUUUUUUUGGUAAUUCAAGAGAUAAGAAAGAGGCACCUCUGGUUCCAGCAGUGAGAGAGGAGUUGUUGUUCCAGACAGGAGCACCCGAGUUUGUCGUGAAGAAGGGCGAAUCAUGAGCGCUUGAAGGACGAACCUGCACCCACCCAAAAUAUCUUUUAACAAAUGAUGAUGAUGAUGAUACUUGAUAACAUGACACAACCAUAAAGUAUAUAAUCAAAUGGUCCAGAUUCAACAUGGUAGCUACUAUUUGAGCUCAAAUGACAUACAAAAUCGAUUACAAGUGAUUAAAUAACGAACAAAACAACCUAAACCUUAAACAAUGAUUAUGUAGAGCGACAUCGACAGAUUACGUCAACGUUUGGACUAGUUAAUCCUCGAGAACGACCAUGUGGUUAAAAUAAAAAAUCAACAAAACAUCUCCAAGUCAUAAAUAUAAUUUUUAUUUUUUCUAAUCUUAAACACACGCAAGUUUCUAGAACCCUCAACAACAAUCAAACCCCGAUCUAUGCGUAGAAUUAUACAAAAAUCGAACAAUCACCGCAACGCUACAACACAAUAUUGGACCCAUUUAAUCAACACGAAAUUGAUACGGAAACGGACUCAGAUCCAGAAUCAACCCAAACUAAUCUAAGAGAAAUCGAUCGGUGGUGUUACCCUGUAAGGAUCCAUAGAUGCAAAGACGAUUUUGAUUCGGAUUUUGCCUCCUUCACGGUUUUUAGGUGAGACUGUAUUGUAUCUUUCUUUCUUCCCCUCUCUACGUAAUCGGCGUGUGUCGCUCUUUAUAGUGACCCAAGAGAUAAAUAUCUUUAUUUUUAUCCCACCGCGUCAAAAAUUGAGAUUACGUUACCAACUAAAAUAGUUUUAUUUUUGGGGAGAGAUUAUCCAAAAUCCAAAUGGAUUACUUUCUCGAAUUAGUCGGCCAGCUAAUUACCUGCUUACGUGUGCGGAUAAUAUCGUCUUACCCCUUACUUGGAUACUAUACUAUAAGUAGUCAAAUCUUGUUUUCAAAUUCAAGUUUACCCCUUAAAACUAUAAAAAAUAAAUAGUACUAGUCCAAUUAUAAUACUUGCAUUAUUUUCAUUGAUUUUUAUUAUGAAGAGAUGAUUACAAAGAGUAGAGUUGACAAGUAAAAUACCAAGGAAGACAUUGGUUUAAAAAGGAUUACAAAACAUCAUUUUUAUUAUACAGACACGAAACAGCAACAACAACAACAUAAUCUUCUUGAGGAAUUUUAAGUGAUGAUGGAGAGUAUCAUAUGAUUUGUACCUUUCCGAUGACAAGAGACUGGUCUCUCUAGAUGCUUGGCCUCACGUUCAGACGGCUUGCUAGUUUCUGUCCCAGUGAUCGAUCAGCCUGAGACACAGUGAUUAUUAAGAAUGUUAGCUAAUGGGUAAAAAAGUAAAUUAGGAAACAAGAGAUUUCACUGAGUUUACUAACCUGAGACCAGUAAGAGAUCCAGAUGCUGCGGAUCUCAUGAGUCAGACGCGGCUCUGACAGUAUCUCAACCCAUCUCUUCACAAACCUGUCUUGCCUGUCACCCACCCAUAAAAAGUAAACAUUAGGGGAUUCAAGCUUUGUCUAGUGAGUUUCUCUGAGAGUUAUGCAAAGAGAGAGAAUGAGACUUCUUCUUUUACCUGUCUGGUGCCCAUGAUCUGUAUCUGUCUCCUGGCUGCUUGAAGUUGUUCUCCUUCUUGAUGAUGCACUGCAACACAUUAACAAUGAAGAAUUGUUUUAGUACACAAAAUUCAAAUGAAGUGAGAUAUAAGGUUUUUGAUGCCUUCAAAUCAUAUACCUUUGUUCUGAUUCCAGUGUAUGAUUUGUUAGGGAUAGGAACUUUCUCUGCGCACCGGACAGGAUCAAACUUUGAUGGGUAGUAAUUGAUCUGUAAAACCAAACACCACAUUAAGAUUUUGAUACCAAGUUAUAUAAACCAUAACUUUAGCGGGUACUAAUUAAGACUUACCUCCUCAUCUCUGUGCAUGAAGUUCAUAAACCCUUCAUGGUGAUUGUUGUGGUGAGCACAUUUGGGAGCAUUAACCGGAAGCUGCAGAUAGUUCGGUCCAAGACGAUGUCUCUGAGUGUCACCAUACGCAAAGAUCCUACACUGAAGCAGCUUGUCAUCCGAGUAGUAGAUCCCAGGAACCACAAGACCAGGGUUGAAAGCAAGCUGCUCAGUCUCAUUAAAGAAGUUAUCAAUAGUCCUGUUCAGAACCAACCGACCAACAGGCUGCAGAGGCAAGAUAUCCUCAGGCCAGAUCUUGGUCACAUCAAGCGGGUCGAAGUCAAACUUAUCCUCAUCCGCAGGAUCCAUUGUCUGAAUAAAAAGCUUCCACUCAGGGUAGUUACCAGACGCAAUAGCAUCGUGAAGAUCCUUAGUCGCGUGGCUGUGAUUGGCUCCUCCAACUACCUUAGCCUCUUCAUCAGUGAGAUUCUUGAUCCCACAAGUUGGUUUCCAGUGGAACUUCACGAAGAGAACCUUUCCGGAUUUGGAGACUAGAGUGUAGGUGUGGACGCCGAAACCUUCCAUGUGCCUGUAGUCUUGUGGGAUACCGACGUCAUCAAACAUCCAGCACCAUGUGAGGAGACUCUCUGGUAAGUGGGACAUGUAGUCCAGUAUCCUCCAGUACUCCUGGAUGUUUGUUUUCGGGUUCGGCUUCAGGGCGUGGACGACGUCAGGGAACUGAAUCCCGUCGCGGAUGAAGAACACCGGAGUGUUGUUACCAACAAGAUCAAAGUUCCCCUGAAGUGCAUUAGCAAUACACACACAUGAGUACUUUGAUUCUAAAGAAGCUAGAGGAGAUCUCAAAAAUGAAAAUUACUAAUAUUUUUAUUAUAUAGACACACUCUAAAAAAUCAGUCUAGCCGGUGCUUAAUAAUCCAUAGACAAAUCAACUAUUAGCAAAAUGAUUUUUCUAAAUCGUCUAAUUACCGCCUAGUGAUUUUUUGAACAAUACUUGUUUAAUACCUCUCUGGUGUAGAACUUGACAGCGAAGCCACGGAUGUCUCUCAUGGUCUCAGGGCUGGCACGCUCGUGAACAACGGUGGAGAAACGGACGAUGACCGGAGUCUGAACACCAGGGGCUCUGAGGAAAUCAGCACAAGUGAGGUUUGAAAUGUCAUGGGUGACCUCAAAGAAGCCCUUAGCACUGAUCCCUCUGGCAUGAACCACUCUCUCAGGAAUCCUCUCCCUGGUGAAGUUAGC